rnacentral:misc_RNA from 1 species
GCAAACUUGGUCAUUUAGAGGAAGUAAAAGUCGUAACAAGGUUUCCGUAGGUGAACCUGCGGAAGGAUCAUUAUAGAAUUGUUCGAAUUCCAUACGGGCAUUUUCUAAAAAUCCGUAUCCACACCGGUAGGGUUUUCUUUUUCCGUUUGGGAGAAGUGGCCCUUGCCGUAGGGUUCUGUUCUCUUUUCUCUCUCUCUAGAGAGAGAGAGAGGGGGAUGGUUCCUGUCUGACCCAUGCCUAUAAUUUUAUUUUGUCUGAACUUUUUAUAAAAUAUUAUAAAAACUAAAACAACUUUCAACAACGGAUCUCUUGGCUCUCGCAUCGAUGAAGAACGCAGC